rnacentral:rRNA from 1 species
GGUGGUCUAAUACCUCAUAAUAUCCAUCUCGUAUGGAUUAAAGCUUUAUGCGCUUUGGGAGGGGCCUGCGUAACAUUAGCUUGUUGGUGAGGUAAAGCUCACCAAGGCUUCGAUGUUUAACUGGUUUGAGAGGAUGACCAGUCACACUGGACUGAGAUACGGCCCAGACUCCUACGGGAGGCAGCAGUAAGGAAUCUUCCACAAUGGGGCAACCCUGAUGGAGCAAUACCGCGUGCAGGAUGAAGCGUUUCGGCGUGUAAACUGCUUUUAUCACCGAAGAUUAUGACUGUAGGUGAAGAAUAAGGACCGGCUAACUACGUG